AUUGAACGCUGGCGGAAUGCUUUACACAUGCAAGUCGAGCGGCAGCGCGGCCUUCGGGCUGGCGGCGAGCGGCGAACGGGUGAGUAAUGCAUCGGAACAUGCCCAGUCGUGGGGGAUAACACUUCGAAAGAAGUGCUAAUACCGCAUACGUCCUGAGGGGGAAAGCGGGGGAUCGCAAGACCUCGCGCGAUCGGAGUGGCCGAUGUCAGAUUAGCUAGUUGGUGGGGUAAAGGCCUACCAAGGCGACGAUCUGUAGCUGGUCUGAGAGGAUGAUCAGCCACACUGGGACUGAGACACGGCCCAGACUCCUACGGGAGGCAGCAGUGGGGAAUUUUGGACAAUGGGGGCAACCCUGAUCCAGCCAUUCCGCGUGAGUGAAGAAGGCCUUCGGGUUGUAAAGCUCUUUCGGCAGGAACGAAACGGUGGGCUCUAACAUAGUCCGCUAAUGACGGUACCUGAAGAAGAAGCACCGGCUAACUACGUG
rnacentral:rRNA from 1 species